UACGUAGGGGGCAAGCGUUGUUCGGAAUUACUGGGCGUAAAGGGCUCGUAGGCGGCCAACUAAGUCAGACGUGAAAUCCCUCGGCUUAACCGGGGAACUGCGUCUGAUACUGGAUGGCUUGAAUCCGGGAGAGGGAUGCGGAAUUCCAGGUGUAGCGGUGAAAUGCGUAGAUAUCUGGAGGAACACCGGUGGCGAAGGCGGCAUCCUGGACCGGCAUUGACGCUGAGGAGCGAAAGCCAGGGGAGCAAACGGG
rnacentral:rRNA from 1 species